UACGUAGGGGGCAAGCGUUGUCCGGAAUCAUUGGGCGUAAAGAGCGUGUAGGCGGCUCGGUAAGUCCGCUGUGAAAGCGCCUGGCUUAACCGGGCGAGGUCGGCGGAAACUGUCCGACUCGAGGACGGUAGAGGGGGGUGGAAUUCCCGGUGUAGUGGUGAAAUUCGUAGAUAUUGGGAAGAACACCGGUGGCGAAGGCGGCGACCUGGUCCGGGACUGACGCUGAGGCGCGAAAGCGUGGGGAGCAAACAGG
rnacentral:rRNA from 1 species